UACGAAGGGGGCUAGCGUUGCUCGGAAUCACUGGGCGUAAAGGGUGCGUAGGCGGGUCUUUAAGUCAGGGGUGAAAUCCUGGAGCUCAACUCCAGAACUGCCUUUGAUACUGAUAGUCUCGAGUCCGGAAGAGGUGAGUGGAAUUCCGAGUGUAGAGGUGAAAUUCGUAGAUAUUCGGAGGAACACCAGUGGCGAAGGCGGCUCACUGGUCCGGUACUGACGCUGAGACGCGAAAGCGUGGGGAGCGAACAGG
rnacentral:rRNA from 1 species